rnacentral:rRNA from 1 species
AAAGGCGCUUUCGGGUGUCGCUGAUGGAUGGACCCGCGGUGCAUUAGCUAGUUGGUGAGGUAACGGCUCACCAAGGCCACGAUGCAUAGCCGACCUGAGAGGGUGAUCGGCCACAUUGGGACUGAGACACGGCCCAAACUCCUACGGGAGGCAGCAGUAGGGAAUCUUCGGCAAUGGACGAAAGUCUGACCGAGCAACGCCGCGUGAGUGAAGAAGGUUUUCGGAUCGUAAAACUCUGUUGUUAGAGAAGAACAAGGAUGAGAGUAACUGUUCAUCCCUUGACGGUAUCUAACCAGAAAGCCACGGCUAACUACGUGCCAGCAGCCGCGGUAAUACGUAGGUGGCAAGCGUUGUCCGGAUUUAUUGGGCGUAAAGCGAGCGCAGGCGGUUUCUUAAGUCUGAUGUGAAAGCCCCCGGCUCAACCGGGGAGGGUCAUUGGAAACUGGGAGACUUGAGUGCAGAAGAGGAGAGUGGAAUUCCAUGUGUAGCGGUGAAAUGCGUAGAUAUAUGGAGGAACACCAGUGGCGAAGGCGGCUCUCUGGUCUGUAACUGACGCUGAGGCUCGAAAGCGUGGGGAGCAAACAGGAUUAGAUACCCUGGUAGUCCACGCCGUAAACGAUGAGUGCUAAGUGUUGGAG